rnacentral:lncRNA from 1 species
GGUUUCUGCUGGCACCACCUCCAUCUCUCCGGUGCAGGCAUGCAACUCAGGAGGCCGACCUCUCUCUGGCCGAAGGCUGUCCUGCCUUGCGUACUUCAUGGUAAUGUCACUGGCGGUGCUUCGACAGUCUGAAGUCUCUGUGAGUCAUGUGUCCCCCCAGCGGGUUUCCUCGCAGUGUGUCAGCCAGCGAUGCCACCGGUGUGCCGAGAACCAGAGGAAGACUCACUGGUGAUCCUGGCUUACAUCACAGGGCUGGAGGAUGUUUGGAGGGCUGGUUGUCAGCUGCACAGAGAAAUAUGUUCAUUCCAGGCAACUUCAGCAAGCAUGGAAAUAACUUUCUGGUGUUAAGAAUGGAAGAGACUGUUCAUACCAUUGAAGCAGGUUUUACCCAUUCAAGCUCUGCUCCAGCAUAGGUGUCUGAGAAAAGAAGGGUGCACUGUGGGACUGUCACCAUCUCAGGAGCAACAUCGCUGUUGAAGAUUUUCAGAGCAGGAAUCUGAAUGCCUGUAUGUUGCAAAGAGGAGCAUGAUCUGUGCUGAUUUCCAGAGGAGCAGCAUCCGGGUCCUUCCCCUACCCUCCUCUCCAGCAUCCGGGCUGGGCUUCCACGUCCCCUUUAUUAUGGCACUCCUGGCUUGAACAUGAGCAGGAACUGGAGUCACGCACACCACACUUCAAAGCCCUCUCCCAGCCUGUGAGGUGGCUUCUGAUAGCAGAAGAUAUGGCAUCUGCAGAUCAGAAGACGAGAGAAAGUCAUGAGCUGCCCAGACAGACACCGCUUGAGUCAUCCCCCUUCCACCUGUUCUCACCUGGAUGCAUGGGAAAAGACAACUCAUGCUCAAACACCCAGCUCAGCUGCGCCCGCCCCUACAGAACAAACAUUUGAUGUCAGUAGAGAAAAUUAAUGGGCAGCAAUUGCAGCGACUUCCUUUCCCUUCACGCACUUCUCUGGGGUUUUAUCAAAAGUAAAGAAAGUGAAUAAUGAGAUUGCAGUUGGCACAUGGACACUUCUGGAGGACGUGAUGCCCCAUCGGGGCUGAGUAGCCAUCAGGAUUGGUGUCACUGGGCAAGUCCUGCCCACACCUCAAGGGCUGCUGCACGGUGGUGAGGGACAGGGGCAGAGCAGGGUGGAAGCGGGAUAGCUCCCCCAGUAGUGGGGUCAGGACAGGGGAAAUGUCACCUAUGUAUUCUGCCUGCUUGAAGGCUGAACAUGCAUAACUUCGCACCCUAGGCAUGUAGUUCCACUUGGAUCAUCUCGAGUGGUGGCUCAGUAGGUGGCACUCUGCACCCACAGGGAAGCAGCACCUUUCUGAAGGCGAGCCCUACACCUCCACAGCAGGACAGCCGGUGGGGAGAGUCCUACAUUCCUUCAUGGCUUCUUCUCCUUCCACCGCCCCUAGGGUGGUCCUCCAGCAG